GACGAACGCUGGCGGCGUGCUUAACACAUGCAAGUCGAACGGAAAGGCCCUGCUUUUGUGGGGUGCUCGAGUGGCGAACGGGUGAGUAACACGUGAGUAACCUGCCCUUGACUUUGGGAUAACUUCAGGAAACUGGGGCUAAUACCGGAUAGGAGCUCCUGCUGCAUGGUGGGGGUUGGAAAGUUUCGGCGGUUGGGGAUGGACUCGCGGCUUAUCAGCUUGUUGGUGGGGUAGUGGCUUACCAAGGCUUUGACGGGUAGCCGGCCUGAGAGGGUGACCGGCCACAUUGGGACUGAGAUACGGCCCAGACUCCUACGGGAGGCAGCAGUGGGGAAUAUUGCACAAUGGGCGGAAGCCUGAUGCAGCAACGCCGCGUGCGGGAUGACGGCCUUCGGGUUGUAAACCGCUUUCGCCUGUGACGAAGCGUGAGUGACGGUAAUGGGUAAAGAAGCACCGGCUAACUACGUGCCAGCAGCCGCGGUGAUACGUAGGGUGCGAGCGUUGUCCGGAUUUAUUGGGCGUAAAGGGCUCGUAGGUGGUUGAUCGCGUCGGAAGUGUAAUCUUGGGGCUUAACCCUGAGCGUGCUUUCGAUACGGGUUGACUUGAGGAAGGUAGGGGAGAAUGGAAUUCCUGGUGGAGCGGUGGAAUGCGCAGAUAUCAGGAGGAACACCAGUGGCGAAGGCGGUUCUCUGGGCCUUUCCUGACGCUGAGGAGCGAAAGCGUGGGGAGCGAACAGGCUUAGGUACCCUGGUAGUCCACGCUGUAAACGGUGGGUACUAGGUGUGGGGUCCAUUCCACGGGUUCCGUGCCGUAGCUAACGCUUUAAGUACCCCGCCUGGGGAGUACGGCCGCAAGGCUAAAACUCAAAGGAAUUGACGGGGCCCCGCACAAGCGGCGGAGCAUGCGGAUUAAUUCGAUGCAACGCGUAGAACCUUACCUGGGUUUGACAUGGAUCGGGAGUGCUCAGAGAUGGGUGUGCCUCUUUUGGGGUCGGUUCACAGGUGGUGCAUGGCUGUCGUCAGCUCGUGUCGUGAGAUGUUGGGUUAAGUCCCGCAACGAGCGCAACCCUUGUUCACUGUUGCCAGCACGUUAUGGUGGGGACUCAGUGGAGACCGCCGGGGUCAACUCGGAGGAAGGUGGGGAUGACGUCAAGUCAUCAUGCCCCUUAUGUCCAGGGCUUCACGCAUGCUACAAUGGCUGGUACAGAGAGUGGCGAGCCUGUGAGGGUGAGCGAAUCUCGGAAAGUCGGUCUCAGUUCGGAUUGGGGUCUGCAACUCGACCUCAUGAAGUCGGAGUCGCUAGUAAUCGCAGAUCAGCAACGCUGCGGUGAAUACGUUCCCGGGGCU
rnacentral:rRNA from 1 species